AGGUUGUUGUGUGUUGCGUGAACAAUGCACCACUGUAAGUUAAGGAGACUUCACGGCACGUGAAGCCUCAGAAACGUGUGUGUGUGUGUUUAGGGGGACGGGGGGUUCAGGGUUGAUUUGGUCCGCACCAGUGUUGAAACCAAAUCCACGCCCUCGAUACAACCACACACACACACUGGCAUUGCGAUUUGUAACAUGGAUGGAUAGCGAUACAAAAUGCUUAAUCAGCUAAGAAUAAACAAUUAUGAGUAAGCACUUUUUGCCCCAGUAUGCAUGUAUGUAUAAAACAUGUUAUCGUCCCAAACUUCAGAGUAAACCGGGAAAUAAAAAUUAUCUCCCAGAUUAAUCAGCACCUUGCAGUGCUGUACAGCUCAGUACGUUUCUCUCAGCUAUUUAUUCUUAUUAACCAGACAUGUAGUGCACAGCUGCGGUUGGUUCAAUUAAACGAGCAGGCGCCCCCGCCCCCGUAGAAAUCCCUUUAUAGCGCCCCCUCCCGGCGAUCCUCCGCAGCACCACCUGACCCUGUUCAGCUCCUCCCCCGGGUGCCUAGCAGCUCCUUUCUUUUUAUUGCCAGCAAGACAAAAUGGUGAGGUGUCCACUGCUUCAAUCUAAAGCGAUCCUUCGCCAUGCAGAUAAUAAAUCUCCGUAGGAUCGACGGGGAUCGGGAGUUGAAAGCCAUGCCAAGCCGCCCGGUAAAAUUUCAAGGCCCCUGAUCUGUGGGACAGGAUGAAGGAGGAUGUGCUCAAACAGCUGGAUGACUUAAAGAUGGAGCUGUCCCACCAGCCUGUCUCCAAGCCAUGUUGUCCGUAAAUCCAUCGCCAGAGUCCUGACUUAUCCACCAGGCUGAGGGAGAACUUGAGGAAGCAUUAUAAGGGUAAAAAGUCCAAGCAUCUGUAUCUGAGGCCCAAGAAGAUGCAGCUUUGACUUAACCAGCAUACGGAGGGUUUGAUGACCAAGAAAACGCAGCGGAUGUUACAGCUGUAUUCCACCCACGAGUUUGCAGUCAAGGACUAAGCAAUCUGAAAAUGACAUUUCCAUGUAAAUAUAUGGUGAACUAAUCAAACGUGGGACAGCACUAAAGUCAAAAGUAAACAAAAAUUUUUUUUUUUCAAAAAUGUGCUUUGUUUUAAAACAAAUCUCCACAGCCUUAAACAAUGUACCCAUUAUAUGGUUCUAGCAGCAUAAGGCAAAGCUUAAGUGUCUCACCUGAUGUCCGACUUUUGCUGAACUCACCCUAUUGUAUCUGUAUGGAAUACAGUGAAAGAAAGUGGCACUCGAUUCUAGAUCCUGCUGUUCUUGGGACUCGGUUAGCGUAUAAUCCAGCUUUGCGCUCUGGCCUCCUUGGAAGAGGCUCCUGUACAUCCACGGCUUGUAUUUUGAUGAGGAGUUAGAGGAUGGAUGGAUGGAUGGUUGGUUUAAGGGCUGCUUGGACAACAGGUUAGGAUUGUAGAUGCUGUAUCUCCGGCUACGGUGGAUGGGCUCUUCCUCCAGCUGCUCCGCCCCUCCAGCAUGAAAAUUGAUAUCCCACCUUUGGGCUUACAAAAGAGCACACAACACUUUAUGAAUUCGAUUUUAUUUCUAAAAAUCAAAGCACACUUGAUUUGAUGCUUCAGUGAUGAAUAUCAUGGCAAACCAAAUGUACUUUUUGAAUGAUAUACAAUGGGCUGCAGUGAAGGAAUUCACUUGUCAAAUAAAGAUUCUGUCUACCAUA